UACGUAGGGUGCGAGCGUUGUCCGGAAUUAUUGGGCGUAAAGAGCUCGUAGGCGGUGUGUCACGUCGGCCGUGAAAACCUGCAGCUUAACUGUGGGCGUGCGGUCGAUACGGGCAUCACUGGAGUUCGGCAGGGGAGACUGGAAUUCCUGGUGUAGCGGUGAAAUGCGCAGAUAUCAGGAGGAACACCGGUGGCGAAGGCAGGUCUCUGGGACGCUACUGACGCUGAGAAGCGAAAGCAUGGGGAGCGAACAGG
rnacentral:rRNA from 1 species